UAACGUAACGAUACCCAAAUUGCACCGAGUACCCAAAUUGCACCUAUUUAGUAAAACUAGAAGCGAAAAUCUUACAAGAUUUCCUAGAGACUAAACAAUUUGUAUUUUUAUGAUUUGAUACUAAGCACAUCUUUCAACAUAGGUAAAACUAUUUAGAUAUGCACAAAACGUUCACAGUAUUUAUCAACAGAUGAAGUAUUUACUGAAAAAGCAAAAUGUACUGAAACGUCGCCAUGCGACGUCAUCAAAACGUCAUCUUUUUAAAAUGAGCAAAUACAAUAUGUUACAAGUAUCCAUUUAAAAAAUAAUGAAGAGUAAGCAUGGACUAAUAUCCAAUUGUUCAAAAUAUUUGAAGAAAUUAAACAAAAGCUCAGUUAUUAGACUUUUGACGAUGUGAAUUUAAGCAUGGAUGCAAUUUGGGUACUCCUCAUUUCAGAAUCAUUGAUGGUUUGGAGGUCAGUUUAGACCAAUUUUUCUAUGAUUCCAUAUGGAAUAAAAAUCAAAUUGGUGUACCUUUAUAAUAAAGAAGGAUACGGCUACAAAAUAAACACAGAAUGGACAUUUUUGUCUUUAUCAUAAAAAAACGUAGAUGAAAAAACUGUCAAAAUAGGUGCAAUUUGGGUACCGUCACGUUAUACAA
rnacentral:lncRNA from 1 species